GAGAUAUGUCUAACGAUAGUGUGUGUGUGGUUAGGGGCUGGGGGUAGGAUUGACACCAGAAGAGGGUAAAGAGGUAGGAAAGGAUGCCAAGAUUCCAAAAUUGGGAUGAUGUAUUAUUCUUUCUGAUAAAAGACUUGAGCCAAAUUUCCUAAUCCACAAAUAUUCUCUGACUGCUGCCUUCUGUGUGCCAGGUAUCUAUCAUGUGAUGAUGAAUGAGCAACCCCAGAUCAGGGAGGUUGGGAUUGGUUCUAGGAAAUGAAUCAAUAGUAAUGAUACCAAGUGAAAGAUGUCAAACACAGAAAGACAAAUAUAACACAGGAUGGUGUUUAUAUGAGGUAUUGAAAAUAGUCAAAAUCAAGGGGACAAAGAGUGAAAUGGUGAUUACUUGGGGCUGAGUGGAAAGGGAAAUGGAGAGUUACCGACAAAACAGCACAAAGUUUCAGUCAAGCAAGACGAAUAAGCUCUAGAGACCUGCUGUACAGCGUUGCUCCUAAAGUCAACAAUACUGUACUGUACACAAAAAUUAAGGGUUGAUAUCCUAGCACAAUAAAAUAAAGUUUAAAAUAAAUUAAAUUUUAUAAUUUAUUUAAAUAAAAAAAUUUAAAUAAAAUAAAUAAAUGAAACAAAAUUUGCUGUGCUAUUGAAAUUAAUUUAUUGAAACAUGGGGGUCAGUGCCAUAUUGGGAUAUUAAAGGGGAAGAGAGGGAUAGAUAGCUUGAAAGAUGAGAUUCCAGAUCAGUCUGCAGGAGGGGUUCCUCUUGCUGCUGCUGCAGGUGCUCCUUCUGGUGUUCGUUUUCAGAAUGGAGUCUUGCUUUUGAAGAGUUCAUGAGGCAGCCUUCGCUGGUUUAUCAAGAAGGCAGCUGUGCAAUUGAAAGAGGGAGUUCGUAGCUAUGUCCAAAGCCUCCAAACCCAGAGCCACAGCCAAAUGUGUGGAAGUUGCCACAUCCAUAACCAUAGCCAUGACCCAGGCCCAGGCCACCGAAACCUCCAUGGCCAAAGCCCAGGCCACAGAAGCCUCCAUGGUGGUUUUGAUGAAGUUGUCAGUCAGGAUGUCAUCCCCUCCCCUCAUGCAGGGGAGAUAAACCAGGCCAGAUUCCCCCUACACCCACCUGAAUUCAACAUUUGUGCACCCAGCUUCCAGGAGAGAAAACAGCUGGAGAGAAUCAUCCCAGAGGUGAUGCCCACAGACGCUGCCUGGUUUUUCUCUCAAGCUCUGCCUGGGUUCUUGUCCCACUUACAGCUUAGUCAAUAAACUUUUCCUCUCAUAUCCUUCCAAUACAUGUUGUUAUUUUUAUUUCACUUUGUUAGCUACAGUCAGUUUCCGUUGCCAGCAACCAAAGUUCUGAAGCCCCAGUAACACAUUUUCACAUCACUGCCUUUGGCAAGAUUGGGUUCCUGAAACCUGCGACUCCUUCCUCCUGUGCUUACGGCAGGUGCACAGCCAUGAUCAAGUUGCCACUGUCAGCUAAUCCCAUCUAAGAUGAUAAUGACUGACAAGAGCUAAAACUAUCAUCUGCUGAAACAUUUAAGUUCAGUAGAAAACACAGGAAAAUGUUGCAGACACAGAAGAAUGAGACUUUAUUAUGGGAUUUCAGAUGUGCUAAGUAAAAUAUCUACAGGAAGCCAUUCUGUCUCAUGUGAACAGGGUCAUCCAGGUGCCUCUACCCCAGAAUAGCUCCAUGAUUUAUGGAAUCUCACAUGCAAGGAAUCUCUGUACCGAUUUUUAAUUAACCAGCACUGACCAUGAAAACUAAUGUU
rnacentral:lncRNA from 1 species